rnacentral:rRNA from 1 species
AGAAUCAACGCUGGCGGCGUGCCUAACACAUGCAAGUCGAACGAGAAAAUGGUAGCAAUACCAUGAGUAAAGUGGCGCACGGGUGAGUAACACGUGACUAACCUACCCUUGAGUGGGGGAUAAACUGAGGGAAACCUUAGCUAAUACCGCAUAAUACCCACGGGUCAAAGGAGCAAUUCGCUCGAGGAGGGGGUCGCGGCCGAUUAGUUAGUUGGCGGGGUAAUGGCCCACCAAGACGAUGAUCGGUAUCCGGCCUGAGAGGGCGCACGGACACACUGGAACUGAAACACGGUCCAGACUCCUACGGGAGGCAGCAGUGGGAAUUUUGCGCAAUGGGGGAAACCCUGACGCAGCAACGCCGCGUGGAGGAUGAAGUCCUUCGGGACGUAAACUCCUUUCGAUCGGGACGAUUAUGACGGUACCGGAAGAAGAAGCCCCGGCUAACUUCGUGCCAGCAGCCGC